CUCUAGGGAGGGCCAGGCGUGCGGUGGUCGUUCCACAGCCGAUGGCCGGGCCUUUAGGGGCCCCUGUAUUUAUUUCUGAAGCAAGGACACGUAUAUUUGGAGAGGAUUCACAGGGCAUCAGUACUCUGAAAAGUCCACUUUCUGAGAGUGAGGGUCCUGCAUUAUAUUUUGGAGUUUUAAGAGCCAGGCUAGUGUAAAUAGGUCUGAGGUCCUUUCCAUAACUCCUGCUCCAAAACAGAGUUCUGUAACCCUCAUGACUUGUGCCACCAACCCUAUAGCAGUGACUUGGGACUCUGCCUGUCUCUACUGUGUGCAGGAGUUCACAGUUGUUCUGUCAACACCAUCUCCAGGGCUCUCAACUAGGGAGGCUUAAAGGCUUGCAGUUAGGGCCGGCCCUGUGGCCAUGUAACCGGGUUCUGAUCAGAGAGAUUUAAGAGGAGUCUGCUUGGGAUUUAUGAGGACAGAUUUGCUUUCCUGGUGAAAGGGUCAGCCUUUUCCUCUUCCUCUCUUCCUCAGAAAAUGGGUGGAAGCUGAUAGAGGAGAACCAAUCCGACCUUCAGAGACUGAGCUAGGAAAUAAAUCUACCCUAUAAAAAGAGAUGCUAUCGUAAGCAAGAGUUAGCAGUACAUUACAGAAUAAGCUCUACAAAGAUGACACAUACGGGGAUUACCAGCAGAGACACUGGGGAUUGAACCCAGGACCCCAUACACACCAAGCAGGCGCAUUACCCUUGAGCUAUACCCCUCAUCCCAGGAUAAACUUAUUUUUAAACAGUGUAUUAUAGUUUGAAAUUACAAGGUCAGUAUGUUUUUGUUCAAUUUCCAAACACCUUUUCAAAUAAAGUAACUGAAUUCAGUGAGCCCAACUAGUAAUCUGGGGGAAAAAAAUACACACUUUGUAAAGCAGUGCUGUCCAGUAGAGCUUCCUGCUCUCUUGAUGGCGUUCCAUUUCUUCACUCUCUAGUAAUUACUUGAAACAGCUGCACAUGCCUCGUGACUACUGUACUAGACAGUUUAACUAUAGAGGACCCAAAAAAGUCUGGAAGCACAGGGAAAAUUAUAUAUUUACUGUUAUUUUUUCAGAUUAACAAUUGGAUCCAUGGCUUAAAUUCUGAGGUACUUUAUCUGAAAAGGCAUUGUCCACAUUUCUUGAAAACAGAACUGAUGUAUUGUUUAAGUUGACUGUUUCUCAACUUUUUGGAUACUGCAUAUAAGAUUCUCUGCCUUCUACUUAGUUUCCCCUUUUUGUCAUUUCUCAUUUAUUUUCAGCCAUUAUUUCCUAUAUAAGCACUGAAGUCUAAAAAUCUCCCCUUGCUUACUCCAUCUUUACCUGUUGGCCUGUGGAAGCCAGCCCCUUGGAGAGAGCUGUCUGGCCCUGGCAUCUCAGCGCGGCUCUCCGAUCACUUUCCCAUACACAGUCACCCUCCCUUAAAGGUCUCAACGGGUUGCAUUUCUCAGUUAGGUUGAAGGGCAUUUAACAGAAGGGAGAUGGUUAUAUUCGAAUGGCAUUCAUGAAUAUAUGGAUUUAUGUACCAACCUGCACUAGGCUCUUUAUAGCUUCCUCCUACAAACUCCAAUGUCUUGUAUUUUGAUAAUCACCUUAGCUCUUUUACCUAGAAGCUUCUAGAGGCCUUGGGCUGUAUUUUAAUUCCCCUAGCACUACACCUACAUAUAGAAAAUGUUCUGUAUACAAUUGUACAUUACUUAGAAAUAAAUGUAUCUUGGAUAUUAAGACCUUAAUAUAGGAACAAGAUUAGAGAAAGCUUCACUGGGAACCUAGCUUGUCGAACCAAAAAAAAAAAAAAAAUUUAAAGCUGGUUCUACCUCCCUCAGCUGCAUUUCAUUCUCCAAGGCAAAAUCUAUGCCAUGGAUGAAACCUCCAGGGUGAAUUUUGUUAUCUGUCGAGGCCUAAAGUUAUUAUGAGGAGUACAAAAUUAUCUCAUAUUUUUCUAACAAAAAUUGUGACUUUUAGAAUCUUUUGUUACUUCUAAUCCUUCAUGAACACUUAAAAAAUAAAAUAAAAAUUACUAGAAAAAUACUCACACACUUGGAUGUCUUCACAGUGUCAAAAUGCUAUAGAUUUUAAACACUCUCAAAUUUCAGUGAGAGACAGUCCAUAGGCCAGUAGCAGUCACAGACCACACUUCAGGUGGCCCUGUUCUAGAAGCCUCGGGCUUUCCCUGUUAUCCAGAGCAGGGUAGACAAACUUUUUUUUUUUUGUAUAGGGCCAGACAAAAUUCUUAAGGCUUUGCCAUAGCAAAAAAGCAACCAUAGACAAUACAUAAAUGAAUGGGCAUGACUGUGUUUCAAAUUUUUAUUUACUGAGGCAGGAGGGUGGAGUUGGCCUACAAGCCCAUUGUUUGCCAAUUCCUGAGCUAGAAGAGCUUUUUUUCAACUUUUUCCAGAACAUUUGUAGUAACCGCCUUUUUCCCAAUUACUGUGCGUGUUUUAUGUAAUUUCUGUGCACAUAAUUUUGAAGCAUAGGUCUUAAUAUUUGAGAAGGAUAGUUAUGGAUUUAAAGUAAAAUCGGCAUCUUCAAAUCUAGAAUAUCCAGGUGAAUUAAAAAUGUUUACUGUUCUAGUUGGAGGUGUAGAUGAUCACAAGAUGCCAAUACUGGGAACUGAAUUUUUGUGUCCCUCCCCAAAUUCAUAUGUUGAAGUCUUAACACUCGAUGUAUUAGCAAUGUACUAGCCUUUGGGGGGUAAUUAGGUCAUAAGGGUGGAGCCUUCAUGAAUGGGAUUAGUGCUCUUAUAAAAGGACCCCAGAGAGCUCUCUCACUUUUUUCCCACCAUGUGAGGAUGCAACGAGAAGUUGGCAGUCUGCAACCUCGAAGAGGGCUCUCACCAGAACUGAAGCUGCUGGCAACGUGAUUUCCAACUUCCAGGCUCCAGAACUGUAAGAAAUAAAUUUCUGUUGUCUCAGACCUAAGCCUCACAUGUUACCAUUUUGAUGUGGAAUCUAACUGGUUGCAAGUAACACAUGGAUUCUGGCUGAUUUCGUCUGGAAAGGAAUUUACUAGAAGAAUGAUGGGUAGCUCAGGGAAUGGAUGGGAAAGCUGGAAACUAGACAGUCUCACAAAGGGAUGGCGAAGAUGAAAUACCACUGCAGACGCUCAGCUACACCCAGGAUUCCAUGCUCUUUGUAAGAAUACAGUUUUAAAAGUCAAACACAGGUGACUAAGUUCACACUGAACAUUCAGAAGCAGAGUACGAUGUCCCUUGUUUCACUGUUGAGAAUCAGGAUGGAAGGGAUUACGUUCUCUCCACUUCACCUGCUGCCCAGAGAGACGUGGAGUUGAAGAGGGGAGAGGGAGAACUUCUUUGGAGAUAAAUAUCCACGUACUCUUGAAGCAUGGAUUUUAUUUUCUCCUGGUUUUGGAGCAAAUCACUGUAGGCGUUUCUGAAGGAACAAUCUUCUGUUUUUCUCUAUCUGCUGAGAAAUCAAGUAAGAAAAGCCAGUUAAUGAUCCGGUUACUUAAAACCACUCAUUUCAGCGUAUUUGCUUUGCUGAGAAGAAGAGGCCUUGUUAACAAGGACUGAGGGGGUGUGUCUUUGCUUCCAGAUUAAGCGUAAAGAACAAAAUUUACUGUCCACUGUUACUGAGCUCUGUGGGUCCUUUUAUUCCUGAACAUUUCCCUCAGGAUUCCUCACCCAAAAGGACCUGGAACAUGAGGAGACUGUCAUGCCUAUGACUAUGUCACAUCACAGCCAGAUGGAGAUCCUCCACGUGGGCCUAAGUGAAUCUCACAAGCCCUUUCCAUGCAGUUUUCUCCAGCUGGUGGCAAGAGGGAAAGUUGGAAAGAUUCAGAGCAUGAGAAGGUUUCAGUGCAUGGAUAUUGGCUUUGAAGGGGGCCUUGGAGGAAGGCGUGCACAAGACCAGAGAGUGGCCUCUAGGAGCUGAGUGACCCCUGACCGACAGCUAGAAAAGAAAGUAGGACCCUCAGUUCUACAGCCACAAGCAACUGGACUCUGUCAGCAGCCUGAAUACCUGGGAAAACAGUUGUUUUCCAGAGCCUUCAGAUGGGAGUGUGAAAGAGAAUGUGAAAGAACUAGAGAAAAAAAUGCUGGCCAUGUGGGAUGUACAUGUUGAAAUACAGAAUCCAUUUUCCGAAAAGGAGUCCCCGGCGUGGCAGGCGGGGAAAUCGAUUUUAAAUUCGGCGGCGCACACCUUGAGGAUGUCGCUGAGCUGGGAAGUCUUGCCCUGGAGGCAGGCGGGGAAAGCCUUGACCACUGUUGUCCUCCACCUCGCCUCCACAGCGGAGGAGUCCAUGAUGCUCUUGGCAAUCUGGCGGAUGGAGAACUGGUGAACCCUGGAGGCAGGACCAUUGAUGGGAAGAGUAAAGGAAUUCUAAACCAGGGGACCGAGGGAGCCAGGAGGAAUCAAUAAUUAACCAGGUGAAGAAACCGAGGCUCGAAGUGGAUGAGUAUCUUGCUCAAGGUCACAGAGCUAGUAGAGCCAGGAUUUGAAUCCAGGUGGUGUACCCAUGAGGACCUGAGCCCCCAGCUGGCCCACCUGAUUGUGGUUCCCAUCUGGCAUUUGCAGAUUGAGGGUUGUGGCAACUCUACAUUGAGUGAGUCUAUUGGCACCAUUUUCCCUACAGCAUUUCCUCACCUUCUGUCUCUGUGUCACAUUUUGCCAGUGGAGCUUGAAGCUCUUCCUACCAUCUGGUAAAGGACUGUGGAAUGGCUAUGUGACGGUGGCCCAGGGAGAUGGAGCAUUGGAGGUGAGAUGAGGACAGCUAACGGUUUGUUUUGGAAGUAGUUGGCUCCGCGCUCUUCCUGCAAGCAUACGUGAUUCAGACAGCCUUGGCUUGCAGCUCAACUUCGCAGGCACACGGCAAGUUUGCGUUUCCUCAUUCUGUGAUCGCUGGCAGAACCGUAUGACUUGCUUUGGCCAAAAGGUUGAUUCUUUGGGAUUUUGCGUCCCCAGACGGCUGGGGUCUGCUAUGGAGUUCGUUUUCCAGGGGCUACAGCUCAGUCUCAUCUUUAGCCACAUUUGCUGGGGGAGAGAAUUGUUACUUUGAGAAGCUAAGCAGAGGCUGAGUCCCAGGCACCUUGAAACAUGGUUGCGGCAGGAAUCCUGUCAACUAGCUAACAACCAGUAUCCUAUCCUAAACUUGAGUUUCAUGAAGAUUAAGUGACCUAUCCGUUGCCUCCAGAAGGAGCAUCUUUCACUGCAACCCUGUUUGCAUGGGAGUGAGCCUGUUUAAUGGAUGUUGAUGGUGACAGUGAUGACAACAACGACAAGAGUCCCUGUUGAAGGAAUGACGGGAUGAGGAUAUGUGAAAAAGGACACAGUUGUUUCAACUCUAAGCAAAAAGGAAGCUUACAUACCCAGGCU